rnacentral:rRNA from 1 species
CCUACGGGUGGCAGCAGUGGGGAAUAUUGCGCAAUGGGCGAAAGCCUGACGCAGCGACGCCGCGUGAGGGAUGAAGGUCUUCGGAUCGUAAACCUCUGUCAGCAGGGAAGAACGGUCACUGUGGUAAUCAGCAGUGAAUUGACGGUACCUGCAAAGGAAGCACCGGCUAACUCCGUGCCAGCAGCCGCGGGAAUCCGGAGGGUGGGAGCGUUAAUCGGAAUUACUGGGUGUAAAGCGCUCGUAGGCGGUAUGUCAAGUCAAGGGUGAAAUCCCCGGGCUCAACGUGGGAACUGCCUUUGAAACUGGUAAACUGGAGUGUGUGAGAGGAUAGUGGAAUGCCUGGUGUAGCAGUGAAAUGCGUAGAUAUCAGGAGGAACAUCAGUGGCGAAGGCGACUAUCUGGCACAUAACUGACGCUGAGGAGCGAAAGCGUGGGUAGCAAACAGGAUUAGAUACCCUAGUAGUC